rnacentral:snoRNA from 1 species
UGUGCACACUGUUAGAGCUUGGAGUAAGGUCACAGCUGGCCAAUGAACCCACAAGUGUAGGUAGCAUGCCACAUUAGUGGCAAGCUUUUAACUAACAUUCUACUCUAGCCCAGUGAAUGGAGCUUGACAGUAACCCAUGCUACAAGU